rnacentral:lncRNA from 1 species
GAAAUUGCAGUUGCUAUGAAUCAAACAUUUCUGUAGGUAUCUAAUCAAAAAACAGUUCUAGAGGUAAACUUUUACUUGAUUCUGGAAUUGAUUAUGAAUUAUAAUAUGAAUACUCAAGAUAUAAAGUGCACAAUUUUCACAGUAAGCAAUUCAAAGUAACCGACAGCCUGUCGCGAUAAAAGCUUUUCUGCAAGGGAAAAAACAACUCAGUUAAUAUAGUAUAACACCACAUCCUACGUCAAACCAAAUUUAAAGAACUUUAAGACCUUCAAAGAGCCAGCUUUUACUAUUAUGCGUCAAACCCUCCUGGGUCAUCCUAAACUCGAUCUGAACAUACGCCCAAGUACAAAAUUAUCAUACGAACCUAUUGGAACUGUAAAAUCCCGAUUCCGAGGUCGUUUACUCAAAACGUUGACCGAAGUCAAACUUAGUCUUUUUAAGGCCAACUUAAGGAACUAUGUUCCGAUUUUAACCCGAUCCCGCAAGUCAUAAAACAGUAAAAGCACAUACGGGAAGUCUUAUUUAGGGGAACGGGGUCCUUAAAAGCAAAACGAUCGGUCGGAUCGUUACAAAUAAGAUAUCGCAUACACACCAACUUUUUGCUUGCAAAAACAACAUUAUCAUAUGCCUCUGAAUCAUGUCAUGAGAUUUAGUAGUAAGUACAGAAAUGAUAUACUAUCAUUUUUCGUCAAGUUCAUAAUGAUGAGAAGGAUUUCAAUAUGACAUUCAGUGGUAUCAUACCACGAACAAAAGGUAUGAAAUCAGAACCACCAUAUUCCAAAUAAAGAGCACACUGAACAUGACAUAAAGGUUGUUGGUUAAAUAAUAUGGUGAGGAAAUUGAAUAAAGAUCCUCGCAGCAACCACUAAGAUAGCCAAAGUUGUGUUAACUGUUGGGUGUUCAUUAUUGCUUGCAUCCAAAAAGGAAGGGAGAAAUACAUCACAAAACUUAAGAGUAAAAGAUGGGAUUUGAUGUGGCGUGUUCAAAAUAGGAGGAAGAGUAAACAACGAUUGGUUAUAAUAAAGAUGAAGAAGCGACAUGGCUUGUAAAGGUGUAAAAAAGAAAGUGUCUUUUGAAGGAAAAGAAAGGACACCUAGACACUGCGAGAAGACAAGACAUGUGAAAUUUAGAAAAAGCCAUCAGGCAGUUUGAAGAUACUUCACCAUAAUAUUGGAAGGCCAGAUACAAUGCCGAAUGCAUAGAUCCCCUCCUAACAAUAAAAAUGACAAAAGGCAAAUACAAUUUGACAUGUACAAAAUAAUAUCAAUAUAAAUACUUUAGAAGCAUGAUCGUGCGUGCAUGAGAAACAAAAUAAUAAAUUUGAAUUGUGUUACUACUUGAGCAUUUAAUAAGUGAGCAUAUUAGAUAAAUUUCAGUAACUGUUUGUUUUGUAAAAGAAAUGCUUAUAAUUUUAAAUCUCAGUUGCGCGCCCAUUCCAGAUUCCUAUUCUUUACGUGAGAAAUAUAAACAUAUUCCUUAAACUAUUCUGCCAAAUCUUCUUAAUUAAAAGUCUUAUACUACUGCCCAAACUUCUUCUUCAUGUUGGAUUGUCUUUUGUAUUAGAAGAAAUCAUGGAAUUCAACUUUUAAUUCUUGAGUAUAGGCAUUGUAUCAUGAUGAAUCAUGGACAAAACCUCAGUAAAGGAAUUGAACUAUCCCCAAGUGAUGCGGCGAUUAUAUAUGAUGCUCAAUUUUGGGACAAUUCAAAGUAGAUCAUUUUACAGGAUAUUUGGUGUGUUUGCUGCAAUCAUCAAUGUGGGAUAUGUGAAAUGUACUCAAGUAUCGGAUGAAAAAAGGCAACGAUUUUAACCUUGAUAUGAUAAUAGUCAUCACGUUAACACAAUUAGUGAAUAAAGAUCCUCACAGCAACGACUAAGAUAGCGAAAGUUGUGUUAACUGUUGGGAGUUCAUUAUUGCUUGCAUCCAAAAAGAAGGUAGAAAUACAUCACAAAACUUAGGAGUAAAAGAUGGGAUUUGAUGUGGCGUGAAUGAAGUAGGAGGAAGAGUAAAGAACGAUUGGUUAUAAUUAAGAUGAAGAAGCGGCAUGGCUUGGAAAGGAGUACAAAAGAAGGUGUCUUUUGAAGGAAAAGAAAGGACACUUAGAUACUGCGAGAAGACAAGAUAUGUGAAAUUUAGAAAAAGCCAUCAGGCAGUUUGAAGAUACUUCAACAUAAUAUUGAAAGGCCAGAUACAAUGCCGAAUGCAUGGAUCUCCUCCCAACAAUUAAAAUGACAAAAGGCAAAUACAGUUUAUUAACGGUUUGAUAAAUUAAUUGAUUAUUGAACAGCCUCCUUAAAAUAGUCCCACAGGGAUGUAUUUACCGAGAGAACGGUUUUACUUCUUACAGUUCCUUAACCUAUUUCCUUUUCUACAACUCGUGUGUUAAAUGCAUAUAUCGAUCUUCAAGCAUAACACAAGAAAGUAGAGCAGGAAUAGUAUAAUAGCAGUAAUAUAUCAACCAUCUAUAUUUAAUAAUGCUAAUCUAUGUAAACGCAAAAGAGUUAAGCAUAACAAAAAUAAUAAUACUAAUAUUACACACAAAGUAGAGCAGGAAAAGUACAAUAGCGGUAAUACAGCAACCAGCUAUAUUUAGUAAUGCUAAUGGACCUAUAUGCAAAAGAGUUAAUCAUAGCAAAUAUAAUAAUAUUAAACUUACAAUAAUCUAUAUAUAAUCGAUAGUUAAAGACAUUGUUGUCGAACUUUGGGAGGAGGGAGGUAAAAAAACAUUGCUACAUCAUUGUUGUACUCAUACAAGGGAGACACUUAGUAGAGGCAAAUAAUGAUUUAAUAGAUAAAUAAUUUCAGUAUUUCAUAAUUAUCUUUAGCUCCUUAGCUAUUCAGUAGGGAUAAAGUUAUAGUAUUCUAAAAUAUCUAAAGAUAUAGUUCCUGAAUAUUAUUCGGUAAGAAAUUAUCAGCAAUAAAGCAUUCUUUUGCUCCAUAUCAGCAACACAAUUAGUAUCAAUUGUGAAAAAAUCAUAGUACUGAAGAAUCUUUGAAUUUUUAAGGUGUUUUAGAAUCUUUACAUUCUUAGUUAUUGAUUAGAGGAAAAAAUAAAACUAUCCAAGAACAUCUAAAAGUUGUAGCUAAAUUUUUCUUAUGGGAAAAAAAUCUGUUUAUUUGCACACAACAUGUGGAAACAGUGCAGAAAAUCUACAAUGCUAACAAAAAUUUCAAGUUUCGGUGUCAUUGACAGUUGGACAGUCUGUGGAAUUCAUCAUUUUGGGUGAUUUCAUUGAAGAUAUGUAAAUUAUGUGGUAAUAAUUAUCUCAAAUAGUAAUAAAACAUUCUUUAACUCCAUAUCAUCAACACAGUUAUCAUCAAUUGUGUAAAAAUCAUAAUAGUGAAGAAUCUUUGGAUUUUUAAAAGAGUUUUACAAUCUUUACAUGCUUAGUUAUUGAUCAGGGGGAAAAGUAUAGUAUCAAAGAAUAGUGACAUUAUAAGUUCUUAUUUGGAGGAAAACAUAAAUGCGAAGAGGGUUUGGACUGCACCUCAAUCUUUUGACGGUGUUUUCACAUCCUUGUUUGACCAAACCUAUACAAUUAGAUUAGGUUUCACAGAAGUUAGUAAGAGUCAAAUUAGUAAGAAUAAGAUAUAGAUGAUAAAUAUUAAACUCUAAAAGGAUUACAGACCUUGAAUUAUAGAGUAAAUAUCCUUUUUUGCUGGCAUAGUGUGGGGGAGACGGUGUUCUUCAGAUGUCUUUAUUGGCGUUGAAGGAAACAAAAGUUGUGUAAUACAUAGAUAGAAGAGUUCCCAGAUAAAAAAUAGGCAAAGAAGGGAGAUGUAGUUGAGUUGAUAGGAAUUAAUUCACUAAUUAAGAGGUCUGUGGCAACUUGAAUAGAGGAAACGGAAUUGAACAUGUGAAGAAGGUUUGUUUGAUAGAAAGAAGCGGCACAGGAAGAAGGAAAAUUGAAAACGUAGUCGAAAGUUUAGAUGAGGCUUGUUUGAUGAAAACUGAAAACAAGCGUUGGCAGAAGAGUCAGUUAGGGAUGCGAAGCGUUCUGUAUUUGCAAAAUGAAGCGUUUUGAAUAUUAUUCCUUCAAUUCAUAUAUUUUCGGUUGGAA